AUUGUGCCUUACCCUAUUGUGUUGCAACACCAUGGCUCUGCUAACUCACAUGAUACUGGAGCAGAAAAGACAUGAAGAUCCACUGUGGGAUAUAGAAAAGACCAUAACCUUACAAAGGUCAUAAACAGCUCUGAUGCUCAGAGAAGGC